UCAUGUUCUCAUGUUCAUGUAUUCCAUUUGUCAACUUCUCUUUGCUUCCUUUUCUAACUUACUGAAAAAUGGAGACUAGGUGGUCCAGUUACAUCACAAAUUCAGAGAAGAGAUACCGUAAGUGAACGAGUGGCAGGCAGUGGGAGCUUCUGCACAGCUCAGUCUAAAGUUUACUUCACUUCCAACAGUCAGACUAUGUUAAGACUUCUGGUGCUUAAUGCAGUUUGGGAAACUCCUAAUUAACCUCUUCAAGCCUUGCAAAUUCAAGCCUAUAAAUCACAACAGUCAGAAAAAAUAGCCCAGACUUUUACCUUGGUUUUUUUUUGUCCCCACUAAGAGAUAGCUGCACUCUCUAAGGGGCAGUGGAGGAGAAGUAUCCAAUUCUCUGGGCCAGCCUUGGUGAUCUGCAAACUACCACAGAGAGGUUUUCUCCCAUCUGUUGGUGGGGAUGCACUUCUCUGGGCUGCCGCGACCUGACCCAGGGAUCAGUAGCUUGCAAAUGCCUUGUCUGUGACUCAGGUAAGCACAAACCAAUAGCAAACCAAUGCCAGCUGGUAUUGGUUAGCGGUUGCCCUGAGUCAUGUGGGUUGGUGGUGACUCAGUGAUCUCUAGUCCCCUAGGACGCUCCCCUGAUGAUGUCUGCCACAAGGACCCAGCCUGUGUUGGGACUGACCUUUCCUCUUCAAGCUUUGGGACCUGCUGACGGGGAGGAGUUAAUAAGAUGUUACUUCAUCCCAUGUUCGGAGAAAUCAUCUCCCUUUGGCAGUGUGGGAUUAGUGGGAAGAAGUCUGAGGCUUACUGGAAGAGAGCUCAAAGACACCGACUGGGCUGGAGCACUCUCAGAAGAUGUCAGACACAGACCUCGAGGUGUUUGCCAAAACAAAUGACUCGGGAGCACGCCACAGAAAAGCCUCCAAAAAGGAGCCUGGCGCAGGGAAUCCUCUGGCAGCACCCACGAGGCGUUAUCCUCGUAUGGCAUCCUGGUGGAGUCAGCUUGGAGCAGUCUCUGAGGAACCGGGAAAACAUUUCCUAGGCACCUCAAGGAGAAGAUACGUCUUUUCUGACAGGUCUGGGAAAGACUGCUUCGACAGACUUCAGCAAUGAGCAUACCCUGGCCGGACUUGUCAGGAUGCCUUAAAUCUGGUGACUGGGAGUUGCACAGACUGAAAGAGGGCAGUCAACCAAGCAUCGUGUGGCUCCUCGCUGGGCA